CCGGCGCCGGGCCGCGGCUGCCCGGGGCGCGUGGGCUCGGGGCGCGCGGGCCCGGAGCGCGGCGGCUCGGAAGCCGCUGGUUCCGGGC
rnacentral:tRNA from 1 species